GGGAGCGAACAGGAUUAAUACCCGGUAGUCCACGCCGUAAACGGUGGGCACUAGUUGUGGGGACCUUCCGCGGUCUCUGCGACGCAGUUAACGCAUUAAGUGCCCCGCCUGGGGAGUACGAUCGCAAGAUUAAAACUCAAAGGAAUUGACGGGGCCCCGCACAAGCAGCGGAGCAUGCGGCUUAAUUCGACGCAACGCGAAGAACCUUACCAAGGCUUGACAUAUACAGGAAUAUGGCAGAGAUGUCAUAGCCGCAAGGUCUGUAUACAGGUGGCGCAUGGUUGUCGUCAGCUCGUGUCGUGAGAUGUUGGGUUAAGUCCCGCAACGAGCGCAACCCUCGUUCUGUGUUGCCAGCAUUUAGUUGGGGACUCACAGGAGACUGCCGGGGUUAACUCGGAGGAAGGUGGGGAUGACGUCAAGUCCUCAUGCCCCUUAUGUCCAGGGCUGCAAACACGCUACAAUGGCCGAUACAAAGGGUCGCUUGCCCGCGAGGGUUGGCCAAUCCCAUAAAGUCGGUCUCAGUUCGGAUUGAAGUGUGCAACUCGACUUCAUGA
rnacentral:rRNA from 1 species